UACGGAGGGUGCAAGCGUUAAUCGGAAUUACUGGGCGUAAAGCGCACGCAGGCGGUCUGUCAAGUCGGAUGUGAAAUCCCCGGGCUCAACCUGGGAACUGCAUUCGAAACUGGCAGGCUAGGGUCUUGUAGAGGGGGGUAGAAUUCCAGGUGUAGCGGUGAAAUGCGUAGAGAUCUGGAGGAAUACCGGUGGCGAAGGCGGCCCCCUGGACAAAGACUGACGCUCAGGUGCGAAAGCGUGGGGAGCAAACAGG
rnacentral:rRNA from 1 species